rnacentral:lncRNA from 1 species
GAGCUACCAACGCAUAAAGUGUUGCCGCAUCUCAUGGUGACAAUAUAAGUAGAAAUUCAUUUUAACUAUUGGGCAAAAGGGCAGAACAGUCGUACCUUCAAACGUGAACACUUGUACAACAAGCAGCGGUCAUUAUUCAACACUAGGAACUUUAAACGAUCAUAAGUAACACAUGAUGUGAUUCUGAAAAAAUGCACCAGUGAUCACUGCACUUUGAACAGCUUUAGUCAAGUGCUGACAUUGAAUCUUUUGCGAAGGAUGUCCGUUCAAUAUAAUUCUACAAAAUGAAGACAAUGAAGCGAUUCGCGUUGCGUUGUGCGAUGCUCUGCAUAUUGGCCGCCCUUACUGCCAGCAAUAAACUACAUCACGGUCCACAUACGCAUUCACAAGGACUUCCAUACAAAAAGCAUACCCACCAUGACAUACCUCUAUGCAGGCGGGUAUCCGCUUGCCCAAAGGGUUGGGUUCAGUUAUGCCUAACACCUGCUAAUCAAUGGACAAUUUUUUGUGUACAAAAAAACAUGACCUGCGAGAGCUACUGGCGAAACAUUUGCACACAGAAGUCUGUUCCUUACUGUAACUCAGUUCCUAAACACUGCAUCUGUGUUU